AACGAACGCUGGCGGCAUGCCUAACACAUGCAAGUCGAACGAGACCUUCGGGUCUAGUGGCGCACGGGUUCGUAACGCGUGGGAAUCUACCCUCAGGCUCGGACUAACUCAGAGAAAUUUGAGCUUAUACCGGAUGAUGACGUAAAUCCAAAGAUUUAUCGCCUGAGGAUGAGCCCGCGUAGGAUUAGGUAGUUGGUGAGGUAAAGGCUCACCAAGCCGACGAUCCUUAGCUGGUCUGAGAGGAUGAUCAGCCACACUGGGACUGAGACACGGCCCAGAAUCCUACGGGAGGCAGCAGUGGGGAAUAGUGGACAAUGGGCGAAAGCCUGAUCCAGCAAUGCCGCGUGAGUGAUGAAGGCCUUAGGGUUGUAAAGCUCUUUUACCCGGGAUGAUAAUGACAGUACCGGGAGAAAAAGCUCCGGCUAACUCCGUG
rnacentral:rRNA from 1 species